UGCAGCAAGCUUGUUAUCUCGUUUCUUCUGACGAUGCAAAACUUGUCACUAUUUCGCAAUAUAUUUUCAUAAUUUUCGUGCGUUCAAUAGUAGUUUUGCCGUAUAUUGUACUUUGCAAGAGCGUUCAUAGAGUUUGAGUGCUCGUUUCAUGAUCGUCUUAGUGUCAUUCAUGAUAGACUUAGUUUCAUGAUCGUCAUUAAAAAGUUAUGGCAUUCUUUUUUUUUUUUUAUAUGUCUAUAUUAUCUAGCGAAGUGAUCGAUGGCUUCCACGAACAAUAAACAUGUGCUUGUGGGAUUUGCGGCGGGGUAAUGCAGUACGAUAACUGUGUGCCAGAACACUGACGGCAGCAAGACGCCGGGGUUCGUGAGCUGUUGUGUUGCCAUCUUGAUCCUGAGCAGGUGUGAGUUGCUCCACACAGCGAAAAAGUUACGAGAUGAGAAUGGUGCAGCAUUAGUUUGUACAUUUCAGUGGUGGCUACUAAAUGUUUGUUUAACUCAUCGCAGUGACUCUUACAUCUGGCAGUGAGGAGUUAUGAGGGCGCCCACUGGCCUGGCGUGGCAGUGCGUGACGGGAAGUGAGGGGAAGAGGGUAUAUAGAGGAAAAGUUUAUUUUUUUUCCGUUGCUCGCUUUUCUUGACGGGUGUUUUGCAUCCCUCAACCUAUGAAGAACUUGUUAUUCAUGUCGGUGCCAAAGCCAGCGAUAACAGUACGCUAACGCAAGCACAGAGUGGUGUUUCCCAGUAAAGUGGUUGUCAAACUGGUCGUUAUGCCCUGGGAUAAUGAAGCGGUGUUCUUUGUGCUUUAUUAGUGUUCGUUAAUAAGAAUGUGAUUGCUGGCACGUACGUCACUCCUUGCACAAGCGCAGAGGAAAUUUUUCUUGGAGGAGGGUGCACCCUACUGCUCUGACAUGGAAGGUGCAUCCUACCGCUCUGACAUGGAUGAUUCAUUGCCUGACAGGCGUUGUUAUAUCAUCCUUUACCUUAUGUAGGAAACGAACUCCACAGACAACAUUUAAACCAACUGGAAACGGAAACUAUGACAAAUUAAGUCAUAUGCUUCAUCGGCGGCUCUGCUCAAGCUAUCACACGCUUAACCCUCAAACGCUUAAUAGACUCAAACCCUCCCACGCUUAAGACUUCGCCUGUUCCAUUCUUAACUGUCCCAUCGAAUACGUCGUGCAGAAAGGAUAUCUACACGCUACUAUAAACUGGCAUGCUUGGUGGCUGUUACUGAGAGACACAUGCAAUUCCUUACGGCAGCCAUCGCUCAGCAGCAAUCAACGUCCAAAGGCUAUGGCUCACUCACGACAGAAAAUCAUUAGCUACUUUAGAGGCUCUUGAAGACGAUGGAUGCAGGGUUGAGGGCCGGGGAGAGGGAAACGAGAGAGAGGAGGAGGGAAUAUACGUUCAAGACACGAGAGAGGAGAGGCGAGGAGAGCAGAGAAAGGAGGGAGUAAAGUACAUAACAAAGUGAGAAAUUCUCUGUUAUUUUUAGGUGAGAAACUCAGUGCUGUCGCUGAGUACGACGCACCAUGUAGAGACUCUACACGGAAACUUAAAAGAGAAGAGUAUCGAGUAAAGGAAAGAGCAGCGGCUGCCCCUUAAGGGACUGAAAUAUUGAUUUGGCUUUUCUGAGGAUGUUCCUUGAGAUUCCCACAAAAACUUACAAGAGCAUCGAAGG